UGGGGAAUAUUGCACAAUGGGCGCAAGCCUGAUGCAGCCAUGCCGCGUGUAUGAAGAAGGCCUUCGGGUUGUAAAGUACUUUCAGCGGGGAGGAAGGCGAUAAGGUUAAUAACCUUGUCGAUUGACGUUACCCGCAGAAGAAGCACCGGCUAACUCCGUGCCAGCAGCCGCGGUAAUACGGAGGGUGCAAGCGUUAAUCGGAAUUACUGGGCGUAAAGCGCACGCAGGCGGUUGAUUGAGUCAGAUGUGAAAUCCCCGGGCUUAACCCGGGAAUUGCAUCUGAUACUGGUCAGCUAGAGUCUUGUAGAGGGGGGUAGAAUUCCAUGUGUAGCGGUGAAAUGCGUAGAGAUGUGGAGGAAUACCGGUGGCGAAGGCGGCCCCCUGGACAAAGACUGACGCUCAGGUGCGAAAGCGUGGGGAGCAAACAGG
rnacentral:rRNA from 1 species